UUGAACGCUGGCGGCAGGCCUAACACCUGCAAGUCGAGCGGAUGAAGGGAGCUUGCUCCUGGAUUCAGCGGCGGACGGGUGAGUAAUGCCUAGGAAUCUGCCUGGUAGUGGGGGAUAACGUCCGGAAACGGGCGCUAAUACCGCAUACGUCCUGAGGGAGAAAGUGGGGGAUCUUCGGACCUCACGCUAUCAGAUGAGCCUAGGUCGGAUUAGCUAGUUGGUGGGGUAAAGGCCUACCAAGGCGACGAUCCGUAACUGGUCUGAGAGGAUGAUCAGUCACACUGGAACUGAGACACGGUCCAGACUCCUACGGGAGGCAGCAGUGGGGAAUAUUGGACAAUGGGCGAAAGCCUGAUCCAGCCAUGCCGCGUGUGUGAAGAAGGUCUUCGGAUUGUAAAGCACUUUAAGUUGGGAGGAAGGGCAGUAAGUUAAUACCUUGCUGUUUUGACGUUACCAACAGAAUGAGCACCGGCUAACUUCGUG
rnacentral:rRNA from 1 species